rnacentral:rRNA from 1 species
GACGAACGCUGGCGGCGUGCUUAACACAUGCAAGUCGAACGGAAAGGCCCUGCUUUUGUGGGGUGCUCGAGUGGCGAACGGGUGAGUAACACGUGAGUAACCUGCCCUUGACUUUGGGAUAACUUCAGGAAACUGGGGCUAAUACCGGAUAGGAGCUCCUGCUGCAUGGUGGGGGUUGGAAAGUUUCGGCGGUUGGGGAUGGACUCGCGGCUUAUCAGCUUGUUGGUGGGGUAGUGGCUUACCAAGGCUUUGACGGGUAGCCGGCCUGAGAGGGUGACCGGCCACAUUGGGCCUGAGAUACGGCCAAGACUCCUACGGGAGGCAGCAGUGGGGAAUAUUGCACAAUGGGCGGAAGCAUGAUGCAGCAACGCCGCGUGCGGGAUGACGGCCUUCGGGUUGUAAACCGCUUUCGCCUGUGACGAAGCGUGAGUGACGGUAAUUGGUAAAGAAGCACCGGCUAACUACGUG